rnacentral:hammerhead_ribozyme from 1 species
GCAUUACUGAGGAGUCCCACAAUAGGACGAGACGGCCGUCCAGUUC